AUUUAGUAGCGAGUGCAGUAAGUAAUAAUUUUCUUGUCUUCAGUCUUUUACUCCAACAAUUACAUUUAGAGUGAUGUUGGCUGAUGAGAAUGAAGUUGUCCGUUCCUCCAGAAUCCAUGGACUGGGUGAUGGAACUACUGUUCAGGGGACAAAUCAUUGGCGGCGCCCAUCAGCACGUGCGAGGAAUCCGAACACGGCGGUAGGACAGAGUGCACAGCCAGCACAGCAGUUUUCCAUCCACCUGUCAAACAAGAAGGACACAUAAGAGGACGAGUCACGUUCAUUCAAAACAUUUACGAUGGGAGGUUUAUACCUUUCGCCUGCCUUCCUCUUUGCGGUCAAAGGCACAUUGCUGUUUGCACUGUUCACAAGUUUGAGGUGGCCCGUAUUUCUUUUCCGAAUUCGUACAGCGUUGACACUUUGUCCCAAUAAACGCUGCAAUAAUGUUACAGUACUGACACGGUUUGGGCUGCAAAAAAUUGAGGGGGAAAAGUUAGAACGGGAAAGCAAAUAUCCAAAAAGUACAGUAGAAGAGAGUAUUAACUGGGUCUCUGCAGGGUUUAAAAGGCCAAAUUUAAGACCAUAAUGACUGAAAUUUAAGACCCAUUUCACAUCUUGUCUUUAAACUGAUCCUAGGCGGCUUGCCAAGAUAUUAACUUGCAGCCAUUUAACAGUUUGAUUUCUUGCCCCCUUCGUUGCGAGUUGCAUCAUUGCCUUUUUUCCUCAUUCAUCUGCCUCUCACCACAAUUUUCCCUUUUUUUUGGGGGGGGGGGGGAUCCUGACCUACAGUUACGGACCCUUUUUGUGUCACUCUUUUCGCGAUCGCGUGUUUUUGUUGUGUAUUCAAUAAACCCUUCUACGCAGUCCCUAUGUCAUUCUGUCUGCUUGGUUCCGCGGACCGUAACAGAUUUGUUGGUUUUCAUCUGAGGACUUGUUACUGAUUGCAGCUACAGUGGUAUGAAAAAGUAUCUAACCAUUUUAGUGCUGCAACGAUUAAUCGAUUAACUCGAGUAUUCGAUUAGAAAAAAAAUAUUCGAAUUAAAUUGUGUUGCUUAGAGUAUUCGUUUUAUUAAACUGGUGUUGUAAUGGUUUAUUUUGAAAGUGUUUACAUUUAGUUUUAUUGAUUGGGGUGGAUACACUGCCUUCUGGUCUGCCUCUUUUCACACAGCUGAAUCCAACCGCUCCCGAUUAAGACCAACGUAAGUUAAGUUUUUGUUUGAGCUAAUGUUUUUUAAUCCAUUCACAAUUUAGUUUAUAGGUAUAUUUAGCCAUUUUUUGUGGGAAUAUGUGUCUGAACCAUUUUUUAAGAGCAUUGUACAAAUAAAUUAAAAAAAAAAAGCAUUUUAUAGCUCUUAAGCUAGCAGACUUUUUCUCUGUUAGUUAGCCUAUUGUUCUUUUGUUGUACAUAGAUCAUUUAAAAAAUAUAUAAAUAAAUUUGAGGCUCAGCUCAGGUAUUUUAAUUUUUCAUGUUCCUUAUCCGAUUACUCAAUUAUUCGAACUAACAGUCGAUCUAUUAAUCGACCACUAAAAUAUUCGAUAGCUGCAGCCCCAGAACAUUUGGAAUUUCUCACAUAUCUGCGUAAAAUCAGCAUCAAAAUGUGAUCUGAUCUUUGUCAAAAUCACACGGAUGAAAAAACAGUGUCAGCUUUAACUGAAGCCACUCAAACAUUUAUAAGUUUUCAUAUUUUAAUGAGGAUAGUAUGCAAACAAUGACAGAAGGGGAAGAAUAAGUGAAUCAUCGCAUUUAAUAUUUUGUGCCCCCUCCUUUGGCAGCAACUACAAACUACAAGACACUUGCUGUAGCUGCAGAUCAGAUGAGGACUAAUCUUGGCCCAUUCUUCUCAACAAAAUACUGUACUUCAGUCAAAUUCCUGGGAUGUCUGGCAUGAACCGCUUUCUUUAGGUCAUGCCACAGCAUCUCAAUGGGGUUAAAGUCUGGACUUUGACUUGGCCAGUCCAACUUGUAUUUUGUUCUUCUGAAAAUCAUUCUGAAGUUGAUUUACUUCUGUGUUUUGGAUCAUUGUCUUGUUCCACCAUCCAUCCUCUUUUUUAGCUUCAACUGUCUGACAGAUAGCCUCAGGUUUUCCUGCAAAACAUCCUGAUAAACAUUUGAAUUCAUUCUUCUAUUAAUGAUUGCAAGUUGUCCAGGCCCUGAGGUAGCGAAACAGCCCCAAAUCAUGAUGCUCCGUCCACCAUGCUUCACAGUGGGGAGGAGGUGUUGAUGUUGGUGAGCUGUUCCAUAUUUCCUCCAUGCAUGACGUUGUGUGUUACUCCCAAACUUUGGUUUCAUCAGUCCACCAAAUAUUUUCCCAUGCUGUGGAGUGUCCAAGUGCCUUUUGUGAACAUUAAACGAGCAACAAUGUUUUUUUCAUUCAGCAGUGGCUUCCUCCGCGGACACCUCCUAUGAACACCAUUCUUGGCCAUAGUUUUACAUAUAGUUGAUGUGUGCACAGAGAUAUUGGACUGUGCCAGUGAUUUCUGUAAGUCUUUAAAGGAGACUCCAGGGUUCUUUUUUUACCUCUCUGAGUAUUCUGCGCUGAGCUCUAGACAUAAUCUUUGAUGGACGGCCACUCCUUGGGAGAGAAGCAAAAGUGCCAAACUUUCUCCAUUUGUAGACUGACUCUGACUGUCGGUUGAUGAACAUCCAGACUUUUAGAGAUGGUUUUGUAUCCUUUCCCAGCUUUAUACAAAUCAACAAUCCGUGAUUGCAGGUCUUCAGACAGCUCUUUUGACCGAGCCAUGACGCACAUCAGACAAUGCUUCUCAUCAGGACAUUUCUUACCAGGUGUGUGUUUCAUAGUGGGCAGGGCAGCUUUAAACCACUCAUGAGUGAUUGGGCACACACCUGACUUCAAUUGUUUGGUAAAAAUUGGUUUUAAUUGUUUUUUAAGGCCAUGUCCACUCGUAUAAGGGUUUUUUAAAAACGAGGAUUCUGCCCAAAUACGUCGGGGAAAAAUAAUUACGUCCACACCUGCACGUUUGUGUAGAAAAAAACAAAAACAAAAAACUUCCACAGCCAACCGCUUUCGUUCAUUUUUAAGUACAUUCAAAACAAUAAUUGUCCAAAAUACCCAUUAUUCAAUAAGAAGCACAGCAAGAGUUUGUAAAAAAAAAAAAAAUGGAAGCAAAAAAGCACCUAAUUAAUAUACUGAAAAUGUAAAAAUUAGUCUCAUGUGUGACACAUGAUGGAGCCACAAACGCAGAAUUCGCAAAUCUUCACCUUCCCCGUCGUUUUUAAGAACCCUGGUUUAAAUCUGCGUGCGUGUGUGGAUGAUAGGCCAAACCGUAGAAAAAUAUCUUCUUUUUGCCAAAUACCCUGCUACGUGUGGACAUGGCCUUAGUCUCCUUAGGCAGAAGGUUCACUUACUUAUUUUUUCCCCCUUUCUGUCAUUAUUUGCAUGCUAUCUUCAUUAAAAAAUGAAAACUAGGGUUGUCAAAUGAUUAAAAUUUUUAAUCGAGUUAAUUACAGCUUAAAAAAUUAAUUAAUCGUAAUUAAUCGCAAUUCAAACCAUCUAUAAAAUAUGCCAUAAUUUUUUUGUAAAUUAUUGUUGGAAUGGAAAGAUAAGACACAAGACGUAUGUAUACAUUCAACAAACUGUACAUAAGUACUGUUUAUUAUAACAAUAAAUCAAUAAGAUUGCAUUAACAUUCUGUUAAAGCGAUCCAUGGAUAGAAAGACUUGUAAUUCUUAAAAGAUAAAUGUUAGUACAAGUUAUAGAAAUUUUAUAUUAAAACCCCUCUUAAUGUUUUCGUUUUAAUAAAAUUUGUAAAAUUUUCAAUCAAAAAAUAAACUAGUAGCUCGCCAUUGUUGACCUCAAUAAGUACACAAUACUCAUGGUGCUGAAACCCAUAAAAUCAGUCGCACCCAAGCACCAGCAGAGGGCAACAAAACACCCAAAAACACAAGCAACAAGUGGACAUCACACUGUGCUGUCAUUUUAAUCUGUUUGAGCGGGGUUUAACGUGAUUAAUUAAAAAAAUUAAUUACAUAAUUUUGACAGCCCUAAUGAAAACCUAUAAAAGUUUGGGUGGUUUUAGUUAAAGCAGACACUGUAUUUUCAUCUGUGUGAUUUUGACAAAGAUCAGAUCACAUUUGAUGGUGGUUUUAUGCAUAAAUGUGAAAAAUUCUAAAAGGCUCAGAUACUUUUUUAUACCACUGUAAUAGGUCGAUAAACAAUACACAUACUAUCGAUGUAGGAAAAAAAUAACAUGGUCCUUGAACGGCAGGCAGGUAGUUCCAAUUUGUAGUUACGUUAUAAUGUCCUCAAAAAUCACACAAUAAAUUUUUAGGAACUUUUUAAUUUGUAUUCAAGACCCUUUAUGAGAUUUUAGGAGAAUUUUAGACAUCUUAAAGCCUUCAAAUCAAAUUAGUGGAUUUAUUUAUUUUUAUUUUUAAAGACUUUUUAAGACCCUGAGGAUACCCUGAUUAAGGUCACGGCUUACCGUUCCAAACUGUUUGACGUUCUGGGCACAUUUCUUGCAGAUAGUAUUUGUUUUACUGUCAAAAAUAAGCAUAUGUUACAAAACAUUUUAGUAAAAGAAACUCUUGCGCAACAAUGUUGAAUCCAUGCGUCACCUUUCCUGCUGGAACUCAGAUCUGCAGUAUGUGCACUUCACUAUCGGGUGAGCGAUGCGACACUCCUGAGGAGGAAAAAAAGUUAAAAUAAAAAUUAGACUAAAGUAUCUUCACUCAAAACUAACAAAAAACAGUUCGUUAAAGCUCAAUUCAGUGCUAUUAGUCAUUUUCACACUCAAGCAAAUGUCUUGUGUAAAUAGCAACAGGUUAACUCAAUUUGUCUAUCCUUGACGAAUGAUCAUAUUUUUUGCUGCCAUUGACGGCGAUUGACGUCCAAUUCAUUUGGACUAAGAGGGUGGGCAACGCCGCGAGCGCUCCCCGUCCAAGUGAUUUGGACGUCUAUCACCGUCAAUGGCAGCAGCCAAUGAGUUAAGCCGUAGAUGAGCAGUUCCAAACCUUGCAGAGUUGCUGGCCUUGCGACAGCUCCUCGAAAGGAUACCGCUGGUUACACUUUGUACAGGCGUAGAGCGCCGACGUUGCCAUUCUCAUCCAACUAUUGUCGCUCCAAGAGUAAACGAACAAAUUUAGAGCGCGCUUUCCUAAACUCGGACUAAGAAUACGCGUACAAUGUGACGGCAAGUACACCAAUACUUAGCUAAUGCUAGCUAGCUAAGCUAAACAGUGUAUAGGAGGAAGCGGGGAAGGAGCCGAUGAACAAUAAACUCUAAAAAUGUGAUCUGUGUAAGCUAAAACGCCACGUGACCGGACCAAUUUACGUCGAUAAUUCCCCUCGAACGCAAGUACCGAUUAAAAAAAAACAAAUGUGGAAAUUGUAUUAAGUUUCCAGUGUUCCCGCAAAUGGUUUUUCCUGUUUUCUUUCUAGCAUUUUUCAUAUGAAGCCGUCGUCCUCAUGUCACCGGAAGUGGUGGGUUACGUCAUCGGAACACAGGAAGAGCGACCUAUAGAAAGUCCGCCAGAUUGACUUUUUCAAAAUUUACGACGCCAAAACAAACAUUAAACUUGCCCUCUUGAAAAUGAGAGAACUUGUUGACUGCGAAUUAAAUAAUUGGGUGCUAUUAAAAACAAAAAUGACAUUGUCAGUAGUGUUGCCAAAUGCUAACUCCCUGAAAAAAUAAAAUAAGGGACACCAGAGUGGUAGAGUCGAGCGGCCCGAUCACCGUCACGCCUAAGUUAUUUUUUUGUAUGUGAAAAUUAAAUUAUAUAGCCUAUAUUUUAUUCAAAACUAAAUUAAUUAGGUAUAUAUUUUAGUUAUUUAAGUGCAUGGGGGAAAAAAUAUUAUCAGCAAUGUAUUUUUAAUACAAAAUAUACUCGAAUUUUUUAACCUGUCCUGUUCAGUUUGACACGGAGAAUGGAUGUCUAAGUGUCCGGUUGGUCUGACCAGUUUUAAUGUUUCACAUUGAGAGGAUGAUAUACUUAGGGUGACCAAACGUCCUCUUUUGCCCGGACAAGUCCUACUUUCACGUAGUGUCCUCGUGGUCUGGGCGGGUUUUACAAAUUCAUAAAAAUGUCCGGUUUUUAUUUUUCACGGGGCCAAUUUGAAGAGAAUCCCUCAGACCGCUGGGUGGCAGCAGUUGACAUGGCUCCUACGAGAAUGGAGGGAAGUAGUAGUUCUUCUUGUUUUUGUUGGCAGUUUACCCCUAUCAUGAGGCAUUACCGCCAUCUACUGGGUUGACGAUUUGGCCACAAUGCCUGAAUUUUUUUUUUUUUUUUUUAAAUGAUAAAUACGUAUAUAAUGGCAACUGUUGACCUCUGUCGGCGGUCUGACUGUAAAAUCCCGUUUGGUGUCGCAUCGGUGCGCUGCUGAUGAUUGUAAACUUCUAUAGCAAUGUUUGAUUUUUGCCUCAGCUAGCUAUCAGUAAGCUAAACCGCGCUAGGCAUUAUGGGAAACAUAGUUUUGAACUGCUACGUUUGGAAACAUGCUGAUUGAAUAGUUUGUCAGUUUAUUUCGGUUUUUGUUUGUGUGCAAUCUAGAACAUUGAAUGAGAACAUUCAAUUGAAUGGGAAUAACAAUUUGUCAAGGACAAUUGUCGUGAUAGUAAUUUAUAAAAAUGUUUAGUUGGCACAUAGCCUACUGUGUGUAUGUGUAUUGACUGGACUACAUUUCUAUGGGUCUGCGUUAUAUAUAUAUAAUUUUUUAUUAUUAUUUUUUAAAGUCAUUAUUUAUUGUUUUUCAAACUGCAUUUUUCCAUCCAGAGUGAGGGGCACACUUUAAAUAUAUUAAAGUGAUAUAGGCAUCUUUGAGUGAAAUUCGAGUAAAAUUCAAGUAUCUUGAGGCCGGGCUGAGUGUCCUCUUUUUUAGAAAUCAAAAUAUGGUCACCCUAGAUAUACUCCCAUUGUGAUCGUUCAACAUACCUCGUUUAUUAUGACAAAGCAGCGAACAGGAAGGGGUUAUGGGGGAACAGAAGAAAAGAAAAGGAACACAAACAACAAGAAAUACAUUGAACGCUUACACCAACUAUGAAUAUGUUGGUGCUAUCGUCAGCUGGAUGUAUUUCCAGUUGACACCAUGUGGGGGGCCUGUUGACCAGGGAAAGAAGGGGAGGGCGGUGAGGGAGCCUAUAAGAUAAGUGAUUGGGAGGGGUGGAGUGUACACAAAUCAUCUCUGUGAUCUAGAAACCACUAAUUGUGUGAAUCCCUUGUGAGUGUAAGCCCGUCUGCAACCGAUCGUACGCCGCCCCAUCCCCAAUCCUGGCACCUGGGUCCCCCACCCGAGUGCGCCCAAUGGACCACUGCAUGGAAUUUCUACCCAGCUGCCCGUCCCACCGCCCUUUGCCGGAGCUCCCCCGUGGAGUAUGAUGUGUGUGGUUUGUUAAAAAGGUGCAGGAAUUGCUGGGCCUGCCGAGAGGAGGUAACCGUGAGCGCCAUAAGCGGAUUUUAAGGGGGGGCCAGGCCCCCCCUGGUGGCCGACAAGUGUCAUUGCAUGAAAUUGACUUUCCUAUAUAUAUAUAAAAGUUGUAAAGCAAUAAAACCUUUG